CUGAAGCCCGACACACGGAAGAAAUCCAAACGCAAGACGUCUGUGAUUAAAAAGACCCRUAACCCUGAAUUCAAUGAGGAAUUAUUUUAUGAGAUCUCCAUGUCAGAGCUGUCCAAUAAGACUCUCUGGAGGUCACUGUCUGGGACUACGACUUGGGACGAUCCAAUGACUUCAUAGGUGGAGUGUGCCUGAGCUGUCACUCACAGGGAGACCCCCUCCGCCAGUGGAGCGCUGGCACAUACUGACCAAUGAGCUCCCAAGAUCCGUAAGUCAUGAAUAAGGCCACACAUCUACUGAGACACAAGGCUGAGUCCCAAUUCUUCACCCUUCUCCCAAAGUUGCACACUUCCAGUCAUGGAUAUAUCAACGGUGGAAACUCCUUCAAGGCAAGUGUGGAGAAUUUGACACAGAUCAAAUCAUCCCUCUAGCYCCCUACCACCUAGGAAUUCYUAUAGAUCUGAGAGGAUUGGAUAGACCAAAAAUAUGGGGGAAAUUCCACCUAGCUUAUCAKAACGCAAGGGGGAAGCCAUGACCAUAUUGAUCUGGAUCCUAUUGAAACCUUUCAGAUCUACUGUAGUGYCUAAGUGGUAGGGGUUAUGGGUCGAUUUGGAACUCAGCGAAGUUGAAGCAUUUMUAAGCGCUCUCUAGAGCCCUGUUGAUACCUGGUUCUAACGUGCGUCCAUCUUCCUGAUAUUUUCCUUAUCUURUCUGUCUAGACCUAUUCCACAAUCAGAUAGCAAUGCGUCUUUUAAUCGUCUACACCCGUCUAAAAAUGUGGGCACAAUCCAAAUGUGGACAGGAUCAGGACAAAGGACACAUGUUAGCAGCAGGUAUAAAUGGGGAUGACUUGCCACAGGAUGGGAUGCACUACCCGUAUGUUUCUAUGUCUAUAAAGGUGAUUCAAACCUACACACAGUAACACACCAUGGAAAUUAUACAUGCUGAAUAAAAGUCAUACACAA